CUUCUUUUUCUAGUUUCCUAUGGUGAAAGCUUUGAUUAUUGAUUUUAGAUCUCUUCUUCUAUUAUAAUAGAUGCAUUUAUGCUAUAAAUUUCCCUCUAGGCAUCACUUUUGCUACAUCCCACAAAUUUUGAUUUUGUUUUCAUUUUCAUUCUGAACUUUUUUGAUUCAUGUAAUCUGUAAUGUGCAUUUCCAUAUCAUCCUAAGUAGAUCUAUUUCACUUUAACUGGUAUGUAAUAUUACAUUGUAUGGAUGUUUCAUAUUUUACUUAUUUAGUACUAUUUUGUAAGAUACUUAAGUUGUUCUAAUUUUUAUUCUCAUUCAAACAAUGCUCAAUGAAAUAUAUGUGUAUAUCUUUGUAUAUUGCAGGUUUAUAUCAAUAAGAUAAAUUCCUAACGUUGGAAUUGCUUAGUCAACAGAUACAUAUAUUUUCCAACGUGAUAAAUAUUGUCUAAUUGUUUUCCAAAAAUGUUGUACCAGUUAAUACUCACGAUGAGCUUUCAAUAGGUCAUUGCCUCUGUAGGAGGAGAUCCACUCUCUUUUUGUAAUUGCAAAGCAUAGUCACCUUGCCUAAUUACAGCAGGAUGUUAUUUAUACCUGUAUGUUUUGCUAUAAACACAUUAACCUAGAGAUGUGGGAUCUAAACGUUAAUCUUAGGUGUUGAUAUGCUCUGAUGAGUAAGAAAUUGCUAAAAGCUAGAGACAAAAUGGGAGAAAUAACUUGAGGCUUGCUGCAACACAGGAACAGAAAAUAAAAAUCAAGAGAAAAAAAGUUGGGGGGCAUAAAGCAAAACAUAAAAGUAAACAAAAAAAGGGGGAAGGGGAGAGUGAAGACCAUGGAGAUUGUGGUUAAUCAACAACAGGACGUGAGAAGUUGGGGAGCUGACCAAUAUUCUUGACAUAAGAUUUUGAGAAAAAUAGAGCUUACAGGGUAGGCUUAAACCUAGGAAUCAUUCUUCAUAUUUACCCAAAGAGGACUAUGGCACUAGCAAGUAUUUGUUUUCUCAGGUACUAGUGAUUCAAAGAGAGGGAGCUAAAAAGGGGAAAAUUAAAAUCAAAAGCCUAACUUAUUUUAUGCAAGAGAUAGCUGAAUUCUAAAAUUUUUGUUUUGUUUUGUUUUGUUUUUUUACCCUCUCAUGGGCCUAGCCUUAGGAUUUCUUUCACCACAAAUCCUUUCAUAGAUGGGAUCCCUAUCUGCCAUAGCAGCUGCUACCUCUGAGAGACUUGAAGCGACCUCUACCUCACACAUGAGAGAAAAGACCCUUCUUUUUACUUCUUGGGGAAUGUAGUGAUUCAGGACUGUAGUGUUUCCUCUUGGAGUCUCUCCCUAGAGGUUUUCCUAUUGUUUUUGCUCUAAGCAGAGUCCCCACAUCCACACUCCCCCACCCCCUCCAUAGCACAAUCAAUAUUAACUCAUUCAUAACAGAGGAGCAGCCUCUUUUCCAAUCACAGUUCUGCUGACUUGUUUGGGAUUGGUUUGGGUUGAGUCACUAAGAAACAUAUUAGAUUAAGGCACUGGUCUUUUUAAUAAUAAUAUAGAAUCUCCACACCUCUCAAAUAGACCUCAAAUUUGGGAGCCAUUUAUUUUCAUUACCCUCUCUUCAUAGGAAAAAUUGAGGACCCCGUUUAUUUACUUAAAACAACAAUAAGCUGAAUCACUGUUGCUAUUUAACAUCUUACUUUUUAGAAAAUAUUCUUUGUGGUGCCUGACGGCAAUGCUGCAAAGGAAACAACCAGUUUAAAAAUAGGAAAGAUAAAUUAAAUAAUACCAAUUUACAAACAAAUUUAAAAUCGAAACAAUCCCCCAUACACACUCUUCUUGGUCAGCUCUGCCUCACCCUAAGAGAUCAGUAGGUAAACAACAUUCUGUUACCUCUGUUUGCACCCAUGGAUCAUCAGGUGAGAGGGCAGGUGUUUGGGAGUAGUUGGAGAGAGGGCUGAAACAAUAUUUUUGCACCAAAUAACUUGGUCUCUCCAGUUUGUAGUUAGUUUAUAAUGAGUUUGUGAUCCAUGGAUCUCACAGGCUGCUUCCUUGUAACUUAAUGAACCAUAAUGACAAUUCCAAAGGCUACAUUAAUUUCUUUUUAAAAUAAAAGAAGGAGGGUCUGCUGAGAGUGGAUGUUAGGAACUAAGCUAUUUCCAUUACCCUAUUUUAAGUAAAGCGCUAGCUAGAAGGCCCAUGUACCAGCUACUGCUAACUCCUAACUUCAGAAACUCAUUUGCAAUGAGCUUUCCAUACCUCUUUGGGUGGGAAAUGUACUAUUGCUUCUCUUCUUAGCGAGGCUAUCAAGAAACACACUUCAAAAAAUUCCCACAACACACAUAAUCAUUCUUUCAAAAUAGCAAUUUGGCUGUAGCAGCCUUCUUCCCAUUCAGCUAAGUGUGUGAAAGGUAAUGGAGACAGCUAAUGCCUUUUGGUUUUGCUGUGGGCAGGGGAAUCUUACCAUCAUAUGUAAUUAGUAAGAACUACCAGAAAACAGACAAUUGUUAUAGAAGUCACACUGAAAAUACUCUAACAAAUAGUCUAAGCAACAUUCAUUGAGCUCCUUUGGGGGUGGGGCAAGGGGGGUAAUUUUCUGGUGUUAAGAAUGUCAUAAGAUUGCCAAGGUAGUAAAUGACUGGGACUUUACAAAGGCCUUUGGAAGGAGAGGGGGCAAUCCCAUGAGAAAAUGACAGGUACUGUUUUAUUUCCAUGGUCCUUUUUUACCUGCCAGUUCUUACUUCUCAGUGAACACAACUGAUGUCCCCACUUUCCCCAACAACAACAAUGACAAUAAAAUAAAUUUUAAAAAGAUUCUCGGUAUGAGUCAUGAGCUUACCCACUGUGGACCAGGAAGUUCUCUUCAGGCUCUCACCUGCUAAACUAUGGCAGAAGUGAUUAUGCAAAGUUUUCAAAAACCCACAGCACAGCUCUCCUCCUGCUGGGCUAUGAAUGGAGACAAGGGACUGGUACUAGUGAGGGCCAUUCGGAAGAGGAAGUGGGUGAAGGCUCUGCCACUGGCCAAAAUCGGGUUGCACCUCUUCUCCCAUGCUCCCCAUACAAGCCCUGACAAUGACAUUCUCCUGGAAGCCCAUUUUCAUUGCUGCCUCCAGGCCUUUGCUCUCCUGUUUGUCUGGGACUACCUGAGAGCCCUUCUUCUAAACCCAUCCUAGUCUGAUUCGAACUCAUUUUUCAAGGACCUACCUCUUCCCAGUUUAUAGGCCAUUUUCUCUCAUUUCAGCCCACACUGCGCUCUCCUUUCUCUGAAUUCUUGCAGCACUUAUAAUCUCUAUAAUUAUAAUAACAACAAUAUUUUAGUUAUUUACGUAUCAAGUACUCACUACAUGUCAGGUGCUAUGCUAAGUAGUUUACGUAGUCCCUUAUUUAAUCUUCACAGCUAUCCCAACCUAUGUUACAUUUGAGGAAACCGUGGUUACGUGGUUAGUAAGUGGCAGGAUGGGAUUUGAACCCAGGUCCAUCACUGGUAAAGCCUGUGUCCUUCCCCAUGGUCCAUAUUUCAUUUUUUGGGCUACCUCACAAUAUACUUGCACUGCAUCCUUUUUGUAUAUUUUAUAUUUCAUUUUAUGUGCUUGUGCCUCAUGUUCACAACAGAAUUUAUGCCUCUAGUGAAUGGGGCUACUUAUUAGAUGUGUGUUUACUGCCCAUUUUGUCAAGCAUGGGAUCAAGCAUUUAGUAGGUGCCUAAUAUUUGUGACUGGAUAUAGCAUGAAUAGACAUGCAUCUUUCUUCGAAACUCUCAAAGGUCUUUAUAAGAACAAUCACACCAGACAGUGGUGCAUGGAGGAGGGGAGCAGUGUAGUGGUCGCGUGUGAAAAGGGUCCCUGAAUAGCCAAUAAACCAUCUUACUCCGGUUCACUGUGAUCCCCUUAACCCCUCAGUAAUAGGCAAGGCCAUGUGAAGCCUGGCACAGAUAGAGUAUCAGAGAAAUCCCAAGAGGUGCAGCAUCCUUGCCACAAAAGCAGUGUGGCUGUGGCAAUCAUUGUUCCUGAAGCUUCUCUGAGGAUCCAAGAUCACUUCAGCCAAUCAGCUCCAGGAUGGAAAGAACUUCAGGGUUUUACUGGGCUUCCUUGCCAAGCUUUAAAUAGCUUAGUUACAUCAUUGAGAACCAGUGCCAAAUGAAAGUCUUUCUGAUUGACCUGCUAUUAGGAGGCCACUGCAUUAUAAACCUUCAAAGCUUUAGCCAUAAAAUAAUUUCAAAUGCAGUGUCAAGAGAAGUGUUCCAAUAUGUAAUAAGUAAAACUUAGAAGACGUAUAAAAAUUAAAGAGUGGGUCAACUGGUUCAAAUGGCACACAAAUUUAAUGUGAGUGUCACAGUCUAAUGGAAAAAACAGCAUCUCAGGAUCCAAGGGGGUUCACAUCAAUUCCAGCUUUGCCCUUCAUAUAACCUCAGCCAUGUUACUUCAUCUUACUGUGCCUCAGUCUCCUCAGCUGCAUGACGAAGACUGCGAAUUCAUUGAUUCUCAAAUUACAUGCUAGAUAUUAUCUGAGGUUCACAUGAUGGCAUAAGCUUCCUUUCCCAAACCUCAUGUAAAUACGUACCAUAUGUUUCUAAAAAGUUCUCUGUAUACACACCUCUAUUGCAAAAGUAUAUCACUCCGCAAGUUCUGUCGAGGUAACAAGCCCCAUUUUAAAGAAAAAAGAAAGGGAGGGGAGAAUUACAUUCAGGGUCAGAGAAAAUAAGGCCAGAAACAUACAGAAACAGGUUCCAGAUAUGCAAUCUGCUGCUUAUCCAUGGAGCCAUGCUACUUUCCUUUAAGAAGAGAGCGCUUAAAAGAGUAAGGUUCUACCUCUAUUCUCAUCAAGGGGAGCAACACUUUUGUAAUGACUUAUAAAGUGACUUGAGAAAAAUACUUUCUUAUCACAAUUUCCAUGUAAAUUCAAAAUUACCAUAAUUUCCAUGCCAAUUCAAAAUUAGGAAAAUACUUAACACAUUUUCUUAACUGUACAAAUGCCAGGGGAACAGAGUCCAAGACUCACUGUAGAGGGAAAAAACCCAAGGUUCUCACAGAAUCUCCAUCCCCAGCCCACUUGGCCAGAGUUUUCUUUCUUUUUAAAUUCUUGUGUCUCUACCUCUCACAGGUCUCCUCUUCCUCUUUUCCUCUUGUCACACUAUCUGCUGUCUCUCCUGGCCACCUCUAGAAGCCAACACCCUCAUCCUUUACCCUUUCUUUGCUUGUUGCAUCUAACUUUUAAGGGGCUCAGAGGCAAGAGGCCAAAGCCUGUUAAAAUCAGAAAUAAAGCUACAAAACUGGAGAAGACCUGAGCUGCCUCCCUGAGAAAAGCACACAAGUGUGACAUCUGCUAGUUGCUAAGUCCUUGUCUGUCACAGACAGUGGUAGAGGUCUAUCUUUCAGAGUAAAGAAGCCUAGCUUGAUCUAGAAAGCAGCAUCAUUUGGGCUCUUGACUUUGGGAGAAGGAGUCCUUCUGAUAUGACACACUAGUUAAUUCCUAUUCCACAAAAACCAUAACUAUGGCACAGUUAAAGCACUAUAGCAGGCACAGGUAAUGAAUAGGGUCACUUUCCUGAGUGACAUCUCCACUAAGAUCUUUCAUCACAUCAGACAUCUGUGACCCAGCCAAGCAGCAGUUACGAGGUCAGUCCUAUAAGAGAAAUAAUAGGAGGUGGGGAUGGGCAUUUGAGCUUAGCAAAGUUGUAAUCUAAUCUUUCGGACUUUGGUCAUAAAUGGGACAAAGUCCUAAAGAGACCACACUGGGUGUUAGGGAAUAAAAUGGCACUUUCCUCAAAGAAACAGCUAGAAAGGAAGCAUCCCAAGCUAUAUCCCGAAAGGCUCUAACCUCUGGGACUAAAUUACAGUCAUCAGAACCUUUAUCUUACAAAUGAAUUGUUAAUUGUACUUACCCCACCAGGACCCUCAUUUGUAUCUGUUUCUCAACUUCACCCAUGAGCCUUCCAUACACUCCUUCCCACCCUGUGCUAGAUGCCUCUCCUCUGAUGCACAACACCCUAUCACACUCCUCCUGACUAACUCACACACACACACACACACACACACUGUACUAUAAUUGUAUGCUUUUCUUCAUCUGUAGGCUCCAGGUCCAUUAGGACAAAGCUUGCAUCUUUCAGCUCAUAACUUUAGCUCUUAGAAUUGUGCCUUGUACAUAGUACAUGUUCACUAUAUGUUUAAAUGAAUGAGUACAUGAACAAAAUGAAUGAAUCUUUGUAUCUUUUAUAAUAUAGUUCUCCUUCCACCAAAGCACUCAUCUUGGUACCUUCCCAUCAUGAGGCCAGGGUAAGGCUUUGUGACAUCACUCUAAGAUAAGACAAAAGCACAAGAAUAGGUUGUACUUAGCAGAGGCAAACAAAGCUGUCCUCGGGCAGGGUGUGACACAGGUUUCUUCUUGUCUUGAGGAUGAGUGAAGAAGCCCACAGCCACAUGGGUAUUUUCGCAGCUUCCCAUGGGGGAAAGGCUGACCCUGGAUAGAAUGGCAGGAGAAUUUAAUUUUAGGAUUUGGGAAGAAGGAAUUAUUGUUAAGUAUCUCAGAAGAAUCAAGAUUUGGGAGCAGGAAGUGAAGACUUAUCCAAAUUAAAGAUUGUGCUAAUUUAUUACAACCAUGUAUACUGAAAACAAGCAUGUUGGGGUAAGUGGACUGCUUCCUCCAUAGCAGAGUUAUGAUAGCUUGGGAAGAAAGAAUUAAGCCAUUAUAAAAAGUACAGCAACCUUCCUCCUUCCAGCCUGCCUGCACAAAGUGACCAUGCAGAACAAGCCAUACCUGUACACAAUCUCCAUUUCAAACACGUAUAAAAUCCUAUUUACACAUUUCUAAGCUUGUCUUUCUUGAGAACAACUGAUUCCACUACAAUCCUGGAGUCCUAAAACGUCUUAUGUAAUCCACUCCAACUUUUUCAAUUGACAGACGAAAAGCCCGAGGUCCAGAGAGAUAAAGUGACUUUCCCCAAAUUUUAGAGUUUUCUGUUCCUCUAAGGGCGUAAGGGUGUAAUAGGACAAAAAGUGAUAAUCUAUGUGACUUGGGAUUGGGAGACCAGUGUAAUGUAGUGUGUUUGGAUCCUGGCCAACUGUGUGAUCUUAAGCAAUUUUAUGUCUCUGAGCCUCAAUUUUCUUAUUUCUAACAACUGGUAUAAUAAUAGCACCAACUUCAAAGGUUUUUGUGGUGAUUAAAUGAGAGAACAUAUCUAAAGCAUUCAGCACAGUGUCUGGUACCUAGUAGGUAUCAACAAAAGGUAUCUAUAAUAGGUAUUGUUGUUAUUGGUAUUAUUACUGUGCUAAUAGCAUAAUGGGUGACAGAAUAAUGAAGUCAGGAGUCAAAAUAAAUUAUAAUAAUGAUUAUUAUUAUAAUAAUAAUAUGAUUAACAUUUCUUAAGUGUGUGCCUAGGUACUUUAAUGAUUGCUUCAACUACAUUAUCUCACUCAGUUCUCCCAAUUCUACAGAUAAGGAAACUUUCCCUUAGAGGAGCUUAAAAUUUUGCUCAACAGCUGAUAAGUGAUGACCCUAGGAUAUGAACCUAGGUUUCACAGACUCUAGAAUUUCUGCCAUUAUGCUGAAUUAAGGAUAACCAUUAAUAGAUUAAGGAAAAAUAAAGAAAAGGAAGAUGUUUAAUUCCAUGAGUGAGGUCCUUUACUCUUUUCCCAACUAAAACAGAUGAAAGCCUACAUUUUAGAGCAAGAUGGGCCAAUAUCAAUCACUUCACUUAACCAUGUCAGACUUUUAUGAUAAAUGUUACGGCUGAGUGUGAGGUCACUCAAUGUCAGCUCAAUAUCCCUUUAACAGGGAGCUAUAAGUCAAUCCUGCCAUCUUCAGAUUUAUCUCUGGUGUACAAUAAAACUGGUUGAUUUUCUAUUGAUUGAGCAUUUGAGAUACAAAAGCUUGAGAAUUGGCUGCUAUUUGUUUGAUGUGUUCCUGUGUCUGUCAAACUUGUAGGAGUGUUAUCUGCUGUUUGAAUGUGGCUUGAAGCUUCCCAAAUCUGGCUUCCAUAAUUGUUUGGGAAAUGUCAUUUGCUUGAAAAAUGGGGGUAAAUUGAGGGCCUGUCUUUUCCUAUUUGCAGAUAUUAAGAGAUUUUAUUUAUGCAAGCUGUUAACCAGGUUAACAUUGCCCACCCCAUCCCUAGGGAUGAAGUAGGAGUUCAGUGUGGGUGAGGCAUACUUCUUAAGGGUCCUCAAAGCCUCUGAAAAAGUUACAUCUUCAGUAGAAAGCCCACAUAUUGCAAAAUGUUGGAAGGACGGUGCCUUAAAUUGUGAAAUCUUCUGUGAGGGAUCUCAUUUUUCUGGAACUCCCUGACAUCUGAGCCCUCAUGUUGCUGGAAUGAUUCCAAGAGCACCAUAAAAUUAGGGCUGGUCCUGUCUGAACUGAGUCCAGAUCAUUUCAAAGUGACUCAAGGCAGGGAAAUAAAUAUUGAACCUAGUUAAAUGUUGCUUGAGAUUAUGCUUGGCACUGGGUGUCCAGUCACUGAUUUACUCUUAGGUUACAGGGGUUAUUUUGAGCCCAAAUGGAUGUGCCAGGGCGGAUUCAUUCAAUGGCAGCAAUUAUUUGCAAGCACAGUUGCAUUUCUGACAUGUUUAGCGGAAUGUAAUGUAGAGAUUUAUGUGAUGGUUUCAGGUGGGUGUAACAGACAUUAAAGUCCUCAGUUUCAUGCUACUUUACUCAACCCUGGAUCACAUUUGGCUUUUCCCCAUUCUUUUUCUCCUUUUCCUUAUCUUGCUUGAAAAAAACAAAAAACUGACGUUUUUUCUUUCUUUCUCUUUCUUUGUCUCUUUCUCUCAUUCUGCUUCUUUCUUUGUCUUUCCUUUCUCAUCCCUUUCCUUUCCUUUUAGACAAUAACUUAUAAGUUAUGAGUGAACAAUACGAAAUCAGAAUCAAAGAGGUUAAAAGAAAGAGUUGUAAUGAUAUUCAGCUCACCCCACUCCCACUCUAAACCACCCAAAAAAUAUGGGGGUAGCUACUUGGAAAAGAAAUGUUUUAAAUGGCCAGUUACAACUUUAAAGAAGAGAUUUUGAAGCACAGGUACCCAUGGUACACAUGGACUAUGUACAGCCAUACAAUUUAAGCCCUGUUGAGUUGGCCUGUGACAUGUUUCAUUUUAUGACUGAUGUCGGGUCUUGUACCUCAGUGCCACAAGAUGGAAGUCACAUGCAGUCCCAGUCCUCUGCCUCUCUUCCCUUCAGCAAGAGGAGGAUACUCCCUAGUGCCACAUUUGGUCUCACUGUUUGAUCUGAGGCUCUGGCUGCUGUCAAGUCCCAGCUGGGCAAGACACUGGAGCAGCAUUCUGGUAUAAGAGCAACCUUUGGGAUCACACAUACCCACAUGGGACUCCUGAUCUGCACUCUAUUAACUGUCAACCUUCAGCAAUUGACCUAAAACUCUCUGAGCUCAGUUUCCUUAUCUGUAAGAUGGAGAUGAUAAUAACUCCUACCUUGCAGUACUGUUGUGAAGAUUUAAUGGGGUAAUGCACAUAAAGUGCUUGGGUCAGCACCUGCCAUCAGCAACACUUACUACAUGGUAGACAGCAGAACAAUUCCUCAAAUGUCAAACCACCUCUCUUUCUGAUAGGCCUGCAGACUCUGGCCACAGAUGUGACCCUAGCCUCAAACCUCUAAAGACCUGGCCACAGAGAUCAGGUGGCUCAAAAUCUUGGCAGAGGUGGACAACGGGGGGCAGGUCAGAGGUCCAACGUGGCAAUCAGGCAGGAACCAUCUUCCCAAGACACACCCCCACUUCUUGGGUUACACUGCCUAUGCUCGGUCUCCGACCCGUUUCUACAUUGGCCUGGCAAGGUGCAGGGCCCUGCCAAACACAAUGCCAAGCACAGGCUUUAUUAACUUGCCUAUAUCUUGAGAAAAUAGACACAAAACAACAGAGUAUACAUUAAAUCCUGUUAGGAGAAAAAUCAAUAAGAAAUAUCUGUUUAACAAAGCCCCAUACUUAGACCAUUUUCUUUCAAGAACUAUUUGAUCACACUUAAGAUCAGAAGCCAUAAUUUUCACAUAUGUAAGACUGUAUAGUUCCCAAAGCCGUUCCCCAUACCUUAUCUUAUUUGAGCCUUCCCAAUACCUUUCAAGGUAAGUAUUAUCUCCACUUUACAGAUAAGAAGCUGAUGUUCAGAAAGUUUUAAGUCAAAUCCAAGGUCAUUCAGCUAAUACCUGUUUGAGUUAUUUCUUGAUCCGAGAUCUUCUGACCCCAGCAUUCCCAGCACUACACUGUUCACCUUUUUCUACCCACUGAGUACUGGUCACCAAAACCCCUACUACCCUCACAUCCCAACACUCACCUAUGCUAUCUGGCUUUGAUUAGAAACCUGACCAAGGUAUAGGCUCUGAAAAGACACACAAGUUAAACGAGGCAUGAAAAAAUUAUCUGGUUUAAAAUAUGAUCAUGAAUAUACACCAUAUACAAAAGAACUUAAUGGAAAGAAACAGAGCCCAAGAAUUUCAGGGGGACUCUUCACUCUUCCAGCUUUAAGAAGCAAACUGGACCUGAUGGGUGAUGUACUUUGUGAGCCAGUUAAUAUAAAUAUCAUGAUAAUUUUAAUGAUAAUACAGCCCAUAGACCUCAGGGAGAAAGUAGUAUUCUCACCAAAGGUACAAAUGGAUGGGGAUUUUAUGAACGAAGGAAGAUCACUUCCUCUACACAGACUCUAUGCUCCCAGCUAUAGUGAUUUAUUUCUGCCCCUUCCAACCCAACAUUUCCUGAGAAUCCCCAUGGCCCCUGUCUUUGCUAGGUGGGGAAGAAAGACCUGAUCUUGUCACAGGAGUAGUGCUGGUGAGGAGAGGACAACAGACCUAGUGAUGUUUCUUUCACCCUCCCCAAUUCCCACCACCUAGAAAAUGAAGACUGACAACUAUUAAUGACUCCUGCCCAGAGUGAAGGAGGGUGUUUCCCAUGCAGACAGUGCAACCUGCCCCGGCCCCUCACCACAGUGAGAGAAGACUCAGCAGCACAUGCUCACCGAGCUAACUGAACCGAUGGUGCUCUCCGUAGUGGCCACAGACUACAGCUGAGGUCAACUGAUGCAUGCCCAACGACGUCUGCAGAUCCCAAGAUAUGAUUUCAUUAAUUGCCAUGGAUAAAUCAGUUGGGCAUUUGCUGGCAGUGUUUAAAAUGCCACGAUGGGUCAGAUUAGAAAGCUGCUAGUACUGUAAGUCCAAAAGUGACCCAAGGAGGGUUCUUGGCUUCUGCCAAGGGUAAGAUCCCACAGCUGCUUGAGUUGACUCCACCUGAACAAAGUGAGGCCUCUGCCAUCAGGCCCAUCAUUCCAUCUAGAUAGGUAUGGCCUCCUGCCACCACCGGGACACACAUCUGUGAUACAACCAGAGACAACAAAGGUACCCUGGGCUGGAGGCAGGGCAGGGGUAAUUGCAGUAUCAGAACCUACUUCCCAGGAUUCUUGACAAAGUUCUCCCCAACAGGUGCUUCUCCUCUCUGGAGUAGUGUAAUGAUGAAAGACACGUAUUAGAAGUUGAACUACCAAGGUUUGAAUCCCAGCUCUGCCCACCAACUAUGUAAUCAUGAGAAAGUCACUUAACCUCUCUGAAUCUCAGCUUCCUCCUCUGCAAAAGGGAAGAAUAAAGCUCCUAUAUAGUCCCAUAAAAUUGGUGUAAGGAUUAAAAGACAUGAUUGGUGUGAAGAGUUAGAACAGUGAGUCAACAUGAAGUCAUGUUCCAUAUUAUUUUUCCUUUAGGGUCCUCCGUCUUCCCCUUUCCCUGGAGACCCAUCCUAUCUGCCCUAGUGGGGCAGUGCCUUGUUCUCUGGGAUGCUCCUCUCUUUACUCUGAAAGAGAUCAAAUAACCAGUCCACACAAAGCUUAAUAUGUUGUUCAAUAGGAGGGUGGAACUUUAGAUGCAAGGAGCAAACUCCUAGAGGGAAAUUUCCAGUUUUAUUGGUCUGCAGAUAGAAAAGGGUUAUUUGCAUCAUGUAGGAGAGUAUUGAAUAGGAGGUGAGGAAGUAGGCCAAGGCCUCAUAAUCUGGACAUCGAUUUCAGGAUAAGAAGUGCAUAUAUAAGAGGUUUCAUAGGUAGAGUCGAGAGCAAGCAUAGUAGAAAUGACACUACAAAGAUUUUAAGAAAAAAUAGGAUUGAAGGGGAGCCAGUGUUGCCAGAUGGAGGCCAUCAUGUGGAGAUCCUGCUUGGAGCACUCACUAGCCCAGAGCCACCAUGCCAUGGGAUGGACCUGCAGCCUCUGGAGGCCUUGAUAAGGGAUGGCUGAGCUGAGCUGAGUGUUCACUUCCCUGUGCUUUUUACAUUUCCUAAGGUAUAGGCAACCAGGAGAUGCCUUAUUCUCUACAAUUUUCUGGGACCAACAUAGCCACAUCUGUUAUCCCUUUGUCCUUCCUCACCUUCCUUGCAACUCUUCAUACACAUUCACACACACACACACCUUUCCAGGUCUGAGAAAAAGGUAAUAGACAAAACACAAACUCUAAGAAUCAAAUGCAGACAUGUGAAGCUGGCCAGGUGCAAUCAUACAUGCCCUCGGGUAAGGCAUGAUUCAUCACCAAAGUCCCCAACUCCUCUGCUCUCUGAAAACACUCUGCCUUCUUGCAGAUGGAUGGUGACAGUCCCACUCCUUUCUACCUCAUACUGAGACCAGCUUGAGCAUGUGGCUGGCCAUGCAGCCUUGAAAAGGACAAAUGACCCGAAGGGACUAAAGUAGAAUGGGGAAAGCCAGGCACUCCAAAGCUGCAACAUCACCCUCUGGCAGUUAUAAUUGCUCCCCUGCAGUGAGGGAAUGUCCCUGCCCACUACUCAUCGACCAGGUAGCUCCUGGAGGGCUCAAGUUCCUGGUGGAAGGGGCUUGGCCUGUUUCAACUAACUUCAAGCAGCACAAAGCCCAGCCCAUCUCUCUGUAGCUCUGGGCAUUUAACAAAUGCUUUUAAUGAUGAUGAUGCAAUCCUUUCAGCUUAGGUCUAUCAGGGUCCCCUGAGAAACAUAUAUUAUCUGAAGCUUUCCCUUUUGCUUAAUUACAUUGUGCUAAUGUUCUUUUUCCACUAGAUUUCUCCUCCCCCAACUCUCCCAUCCAAAUCCUGCUUCACUGUGGGUUGGAUUUACAUAAAAGGCCAGCACGUUAUAAUUGUGAUGAUUGAUCACCAAAGUUUCCUUGGGUUCAGAUUGUUUCCUAAUGUGGGUCAUUUUUCAUCAUGAAGAGUUGGCUGAUAAUGAUGUCAUUUCCAUUGCUUGAAUUUUGAGGCAGUGGCCACAUAUCACAGAGUUUAAAUGACUGUCUAUAGGGCAGCAAAAUCAUGUCGUUAUCAGUUUAAAGCAGUUGCUGCUUUACUCCUGGGGACAAAACAAGAAUUGGAGCCUCCUAAAACUCAUCAAACAAGAGCAGGAUGCCAAGAAUACAAAUCUGUAUCUGGGCCUGGGAAAGGGGGAGCAGGAAGGAGGGGUGGUGGUGAAGCAAACCUGUUUUUGCAUGAGGCUGUGUGGUAAGUAUCAGAUAAAAAUGACAAAGUCAUACUUGACAGAAAAUAAGCUGUACUGCUGAUCACUGGAUACCUUAGAUGUGUUCACCCACAAUCCUUUAACUGUGAUUUCACAGGAAGAUUAACGAGCAAGAAUUGAAAUCAUUCACGAAGAGAAGCUUUGGACUAAAACCCAUCUGCCAGAUAAGCCAAUAAAUGUCCCUCUCAUCAAGUGAUUGGGACUGGGAUGGAGCUGGAAUUUGGCCCUAAUGUUGCAUGUGUAAAGUAUGCAUAUAAAAUGAAAUGAUGUUACAUGUGUGUUUAAAACAAAUAGUUGCAUUGUUAAAAUCCCAAGGCUUGCAGACCCUAAAUCACUGUGAGUGAGCUGCUGCCCCAGAUGCUCUGUUUUCUGCUAUUUGCCCCCAGCCAACUUCCCAUGUGGCAUGUCCUUCUGAACCCUCUAGGAUGCCCUGCAGAUGUUAAAAGUGUAUAGUGCAGCCCCAGCCCUGUCUUCCACAGUCUUUCUCAUGCAACCCAGCAUCCCUCCUCCAACUUCUUUUCAAAAUACUCUAACUUGGAGAAAAUUGCAAGAACAGUAAAAUGAACACCCAUAUAUUGCUCACCUACAUUCACUAAUUAUUUUUAUUGUCCCAAAUAUGCUUUAUCUCUCUGUAUACAUAUACACACUUUUUUUUGUUUAAUCAUUUGAGAAUUCAUUGUUUUAGCUUCCCAUGCUUCAGGAUACUUCCCUCCUACAUACUUAGGUGAGUAUCUCAACAAAAGGUUUUCCUCCUUUCAUAUCAUACUUCAGAAAUUUCACAUUGAUAUAAUACUAUUCUCUAAUAUGGUCUUUUUUAAGUUCAAUUGUCCCUAUAGUUUUAUGCAGCUGAUCUAAGUACAUACAUACACACAUACACACACCCACACACACCCGCACACCCACACACACACGCCUCCAGGGUUUAAUCAAAGAUCUCACAUUGCGUUUAGCUGACAUGUUUGCUUUUUCAUUUGUUUGUUUUGUGUUGUGGUGUUGAAUUGGUCCUAGCGGUAUCAAUAUAAACCUAUUUUUAUUUCAAAAAUUUAUUUCUUAGGAAGAUGGAGAUAUGUCAAGAAGACACAGGAUUCUUCUUGAAAGGAUUCCCACUGGGAAAACUGGGAUAAUUUAAACAUCAAAAUGACAAAUGACAGAAGUGGUUAUAACAUAUUAGAGGGAACAAAUAUAUUUUCUGAUAUUUUGAAAAAUCAAGGUGGGAAGAAGAAUGGAACACUCCUCUUUAGAGAAGAAUACCAACUAAUAAAUGAGUAGGAAAUUUAGAAAUAGAAAAUUGUCAUUUUGUAACCAUCAUAAUGAUAAUUAAUUCAGGCAGGGGCCAUGAUAUCCCAGUCCACAUUUGUACCUUUCUUUUUCCACAGUGAGAAUCCAGGUUCCCAACAACCUUGUUAUGUUUACCCAUUUGCCUGGUCCUGCAGUACACACUAUCAACAAUUUAUUAAGUGGAGUUCAAGAUUUCCAUACCGUUUCAUUUUUAUUCUUAGAAAAUGUUAUGUUGGGUUGUACAAUCAGCAUACUUUGUUCGAAAGUGACUUGAGUACUUUUUCUAAUCUGUGAUUUUUAUCUAUUUCAUGUAAUUUUGGGUUUUUUCUGCUUGAAUUCAAUUUUCAUCUUUUUUCCAUUUCUUAAUUCUAUUUUUUGGAAAUGUAAACCUUUAACACACUUUGAAACACAAAACCAAAUCAAAAGGGAUCCCCAGAGAAAUUCCAUCUUCUUCCCUAUGACUUGCAUUUGGUUCUCACUGAU
rnacentral:lncRNA from 1 species